GGCGCGAUUCACAUCUCAACCGAAAUAUUUGUAAAGCGAUACGAACGAGUUACGAGAUGAAAUCCGCAAUGUUUAAAAACGCGAUUCAUAGCACACAUACUUUGAUCUCGUUUUCAUAUCGCUAGUUCGUAUUGGGAUGGCUUGAGUGAAAUGAAUGAAACUAUAUUUUUUUUAAUUGCCAUGCAAAAAUUAUAAAUACUACCACUAAUUGUUUUAAAUAAUUUUGUUCCUACAAUAUAUUUUGUUGGAAUUAGUGUCGAUAGCAAGUAUCAAGAAAUAGCUUUUUAAUUCAACGUUGAAGAAAUUCAUAACCUGUGGCACUUUUGACAGCCGCCAUGUUUUCUCCAUAAAAACAUUGAUUUUCUUUGCUCAUUUUCGUGUCAACGUAGUUUUUUUGGAAAAUAAGAAGAAAGGAAGUUUAACUUACUUAGAGAAAUACGACUGAGACAUGUAAGUAUCAAUGUAUUAACCUAUUUUUUUUGAAAUAUAAAUGUUACCGGUUGUAGUCAAGAAGGUAUUGUAAUUUACGAUGUAUCCAAUUUCUGUUUUGAAUUGUUUUAGAAACACAAGCAGCAGCCGAUGUGCUUGAGUAGCAGAAGGAGCAACUGCGCUGUGAGAGGGCCACGGCUUCAGCCCUCACAAUGAUAGCUGAUUAGCUGAAGUAAUGAACAGACAGGCUGCAGUCAAUGAGAGGCUUCUUGAGGAGGGGUUCCUCAUAUGGAAAAAGAUUUUAGCGGCGACGCAGUUUCGCGACCAGUGAAGCUCUGGCUCCGCGACCGGCGUGGAGCGCGCGGUCAGCGCGGCGCUGCUGCGGCUGCUGCGCGGGAGGAUCCCGUCCCUGCGCAUGCGCCUGGCCUUCAAUGACCUCACGCCUCUCUUCUUCCUCUUCUUCAUGCGUCAAUUCAAACAGAGGAGCACCUGUGAUUACUGAUUACCUAAGUUCCUAUAUACAAUAAUAGUUUAAUAAUUGUUAACAAAAUAUUGUAUAUAUAAGUAUUAAUAAUUACUUAUACAAAAGGCUAAAAGCAUUUUGUACCAGCCAACCUAUAGGAGAGAAUAUGAGAAAAAUAAUAAGACUUUAAUCUUUGAUUGCCAUUAUCUGUAGCUUUAUUAAGUGGUAAAGGGACCUAAUUACUACCUAUAUUUUUUUAGUAUUUGUGAUAAUUCAUAGAAUUUAUUAGUUCUAUCAAUAAAUAAAAUAUACAUGCAUUA